AGCAGCCGCGGUAAAUUCCAGCUCCAAUAGCGUAUAUUAAAGUUGUUGCAGUUAAAAAGCUCGUAGUUGAAUUUCGGGAUCAAUUUAUUGGUCGUGCUAUCGUACGUACUGGUAUUAUUGAUUCCUACCUUCUGACGAACCAUGAUGUCAUUAAUUUGGUGUCUUGGGGAAUCAGGACUGUUACUUUGAAAAAAUUAGAGUGUUUAAAGUAGGCUCACGCUUGAAUACGUUAGCAUGGAAUAACGAAAUAGGACGUUUGAUUCUAUUUUGUUGGUUUCUAGGAUCGACGUAAUGAUUAAUAGGGAUAGUUGGGGGCAUUAGUAAUCAAUUGUCAGAGGUGAAAUUCUUGGAUUUAUUGAAGACUAACUACUGCGAAGGCAUUUGCCAAGGAUGUUUUCAU
rnacentral:rRNA from 1 species